AUAGCGACGGGUCGGCUGUAGCGGCAUUAAAGUGGCGGCUGACGGCCGACAGUCGGACCACCGAGUGGACGUCCAGCAGCCGGAGAAUCCUCAGGAGAAGUUCAGGAGGAAGAACCUGCAGACCGAAGGCCACCGGCAGAGCCAGGCCUACUCACUGUUGAUGCUCAGAACUGGACCCAGACUGACGGCCACCAGAGACACCACGGCGCCCCCACACAGAGGAUGGAGGUACUGCAGCCUGAACACUCCACCAGGACUCCUCCAACCAGCAGGCAUCUGGGUGGACACCUGGACAGGACUCACCUGGCAGAAACACACAGAUACACACCUGAACACCUUAACCGGCUGAGGAUGAGGAUGUACCUGUCCAGUUUCUGACUCACCUGAGGGAUGAAUCCCGUCUCCAUCAUCAGCAGGUGAGCUGCCACCAUGAGGGUGUCGCUGGGACAGGUGCUGCCAGCUGAUUGGUGGAGCAGCUCCAGGGACAGCGGGGCUCCGCCCUCCUCGGCCUCGCAGCACAGCAUUGGCUCCCAGACGGAGGUCACAUGACCAGCGUCUAUCGGGUCGGGAUCCUCGGGGUCCAACGGAGCUGCAGGACUGAAGCUGGGCUGAGAGACAAAAACACACCUGUAGGUCCCCAACCAGAACUACAGCUCAGGAGCAAUGUUCCAGAGACGUUCCCCCAGAACCACAACGUUCUGAUGAUAAACUUUAGAACCAAACAGAACCAGAUCAAACCCUCAGAAGAGAUUCUUACUUCUGACAUGAUGUUCUGACUGAUGCUGAACGCCUCACCUGAAUGUUCUACUGAACAGAACCUCCUCAGAGCUUCAGUCGGAGCUCUCAGGUGAAACCCUCACCUGGUUGGACGUGUUGCUGUCGGUCUGCUGGUUCUGGUUCUGGUUGGCUGAGCUGCUGGCCGUCAUGUUGGUGGUUGCUGUAGUGGUUGCCGUGGUGACGGGUUGUGCAGACUGAGGCAGCAGGACGCAGAUCAGAUCUCCGGAGACGAUUCCACAGGAGGACAGAGUCUGAGCAGAAUCUGAGAGGAGUUCUGACCCGUUUAGAGACAAACUGAAGUCUGUUUCUGGACUGAAACACAAACAGAAGUAGCAGAAGUUCUGAUCUCAGCGACGCCAAAAAACAGAAACUGAAGGUAAACAAGAAAAUGAAAGUGUGUUUGGUUCUGACCCGAGGCCGUGACCGGACAGCAGCUGGUCCCGGAUCUGCUCUGUGAGUUCUGCCACACUGGGAUCUUCUCCCAGAACAUCCAGUCUGCUGGUCUGCCGGAGGAUCCGAACUCUCAGCUUCAUGCUGAGAACAAACAUCAACAUCUGGAUUCACUGUUGGUCAAUGGAGCUUCAGGUUCUGAUCACCAGAACCCAUUUACUAUCAAUACUGGUACCAAUAAUACUACUACUAUUACUGUUACCAUCAAUACUAUUAUUAUUAUGAUCUAUAUCUGUGGUACUUGACCUCUGCAGGGUUCCACUAACUUCUGUCCCUUUAACUCCAACCCUGGUGUUUCUCUGAUUUCUGACCUUUUUUUCCAAACCAACAGAACUGGAUCCAGUUCGUGUGGACAGAUUUUAAAUGUGACAGAAAGUGAAAGGACUCUGGCAGACAGAAGCUGCUCCCUGAAGCAAAGCAUCUUUAAACACUAAUACGUUCACUGGAGAACUGUUUAUGACAUUUAUAUGAAAAUAUAAAAUAUGAAAAUAUAUUUAAUAUUAAAGUCCAGAACUGUG